GCCCUGGUGGUCUAGCGGUAUGAUUCUUCCUUAGGGUUGAUCGUUCAACAGUUAAUUUGGAAGAGGUCCCAGGUUCGAUCCCUGGCCAGGGCC